CACACUGCCCGUCAAGCCACGAAAGCGGGGAGUGCUCGAAGUUGUUUGCUCAACCGUAAGGAGAGCGGCACCUAAAGCAAGACUCGUGAUUGGGACU
rnacentral:rRNA from 1 species